rnacentral:rRNA from 1 species
CAGCAGCCGCGGUAAUACGUAGGGUGCAAGCGUUAAUCGGAAUUACUGGGCGUAAAGCGUGCGCAGGCGGUUCGCUAAGACAGAUGUGAAAUCCCCGGGCUUAACCUGGGAACUGCAUUUGUGACUGGCGGGCUAGAGUAUGGCAGAGGGGGGUAGAAUUCCACGUGUAGCAGUGAAAUGCGUAGAGAUGUGGAGGAAUACCGAUGGCGAAGGCAGCCCCCUGGGCCAAUACUGACGCUCAUGCACGAAAGCGUGGGGAUCAAACAGGAUUAGAUACCCCUGUAGUCCCUGUCUCUUAUAC